rnacentral:lncRNA from 1 species
CGGAAACAGGGGAGAUGAAACUGGUUCGGAUUUGGAAGUUGGGGAAGAUGGAACGGCUGGGUGAUACUUCGGAAGGAGGAUGCUUGGAUGACGGAUUUAGAGGGAGUUUGGUUUGGAAGAAGAAGUUGGUUGCUGGGUGGAACUGAUCCGGCUGAGAUGCAUUCGUUAGCUUGAAGCUGUGGACCGGCUCGGGAAGAAUCCAUCGCGGGUGAUGAGAGAUUGGAUACGGCUGGGAAGGAAAGUUUAUCCGUGGAUGAAGAUAAGAUGAGCCGGAAGUUUGUUCAGUGGA